GAGUGUAUGGCUGAAGGAAGUCUCCCAUAAAUCAGUACUGAAGUCUUGACCUCAAGGCCCUCAGAACGUGACUGUAUUUGUAGAGUGGGUCUUUAAAAGGUAAUUAUGGGGAGAGUGAGAUGGUUCAGCAAGGAAAGCUGCACACUGUCAUGAUGAUGACUUGAGCUCAAUCCCUACAUCUCUUAUGGUGGAAAUAAAAACAAAACAGAAACAAGCACAAGUUGUCCUCGGAACCGCACCCAUGUAUGUGCAUGGCACACAUGCACCAAAUAAAAUUUUCAAUUGUAAAAAAUGUAUGUUAGGAAAAAAAAAGGAUAGUAUAGAUAGUAUAUAAAAAGAAAAAUAGGAAAAGAUAAACAAAUAAAAAGCAGAGCCAGCUCUGAUGACAAAGGCAUGGUGAGCUAGCCUUCAAAGGUGUGAGAUCAGGAGAGCUGGCCCAGCCCCUCACAGGCUGCAGUACUUGGGAGAGUGGCUCCCACACCUUGACUGGGCUAGCUCUGGAGGUGUGAGUGAGGUGAGCUGUGAGGGUAUGGGAGCAGGAUUGGGUGCCCUUAACUGGAGCAGUGCUGGAGAGCUCUCCCAAUAACUAAAGGAGAGCAGGUAGCUGACCAGCUCAGCUAAGACUCAGGCCCUGUUCUGAACUGGCCCACCCCAAAACCUCUAUCAUCUCCAAAUGAUUGGGACGUGUGAAAGCACCAGUCCUGCUGUUCCAAAGCUGCAAGAUCAUCAUGACACAGGAUGACAACAGGAUGGCCAGGAGGAGGAUCCAAUAUUGAUGGUAUCACAGAAGCCAAAGAUCUCAAGCCAGACCCAUAGUGACUCAUUGCAAUGAACAUUUGCAAGUGAACAAGUGUGGACAGAGGGACAUACACUGGGACACACUGUGAUGUACUGCAGCUUUCCACAAUGAGAAGCCCUUUUGUUCCCUGGUAAAUGCACAGUGUGGUUCCCUUGGAGAUCUCAGAAAAGGCUGAGCCACCAUCAACUCCCCCAAGACCGGCUGGCUAGGAAGAACGCAUUCCCUCCAGUGCCUCUCUCCCCGAGUGAGUCACACAAUGAAUCAUGUCUAAUGAUGUGCUGCUGCGCCCUGAGUUUACCCCACCUGGAGGGCACACCAAGGUGGCAGUAAUAACACACCUCA